AAGCAGAAAACGGCCGCUACUUAUUUAAAUCCCUAGUUGGCCCAGAUAUUUUCUCAUGAACUCGAAACUCCUAAGCAUCGCGCUCUCUCUCUCUCUCUCCAUCUGAUUCGCCAUUCGUAUGAGAAUUCUCGGAACCAGAUCUCGCAUUCUUCUUCAUGCCUUAUUUCAUCGUCAAACUUUACAGAGAGUCUGCGAUCUUCUCCGUGAAGCUCGCUUCCGUACUGCAUUAUCGGUUUCUUUCGCAACUCACAGAUUCUGCGUUUCGUCCGAAUCACGUUAGCGGAAGUAUCGCCGAUUGUUUUUCAUCCAGUUCGAACAACAGCAAAUUCUUCAGGUUGUAAUUGCGUUUGGUUGCUGAGAAGCUGCGGGAAAAUACAGGAUUUGUGAUGGUUUUUAUUCUGAUGUGCUGAAAACACUAGACUUGAUGGAAAAAAAAACCCUACAAAAAGUUUAAUCCCAUGUUACAAAAGAAAUACAGAUCAUAAAUCCCAAAAAGAGUUUGGUAUUGCAUCUUGUACACUUGGAUUGAGAGUUCAUCACCAACGCUAUUUGGCAAUGAGCAGAUUAUCCCGCGAUAACAUGUUCUUACUAGAGAGAGAAAACAUCCUGGCAUAGCAUUUGACUAUUUAAACAUUUCUUCUAGAUCCAUGUUUUUAACAGUAGAGAGAAAGGGUCUGGUAUGGAGGAGUGCUUAAUUGUAAUGAGCUGAGGAAUGAAGUAUGCUUCCACUUAAGAUUCAACAAAGGAUUUGACGCCUCUUAAAGUAUCAGGUGCAUUUAAGGAGGUAACCACAAUCUCAACUGCAGGUGUCGAACAUGUGUAUUCUAUUGUGUUGAUGUUCAAAUAAAACUACUAAUUAAUUAAUUAAUUAUCUUAUUAAUGAAGAUUGUGCACUUUAUCUUGAAAGGUAAUAUAUCUCAUGCAUUUUAGGAGCCAAAUCAGCCGACCCCACCUAGUGAAACAAAGAAUGCUUUGUUGUUGUUGUAUUUUAGGAGCCAAAUCCUUCAAGAACACAAGUAAUAUGGAUAUAGUGGUGAAUGAUAAGAUUGGAGUUAGUGCUCUCUGUAUAAAUUCGACCCCUUCAUCACUUUUGAUUGCUUUGUACAAAGUCGUUAAAGUACUUUCUGUGUCGUUAUGGAUCGUGAAAUAAUUCACAGGACAUCUAGCCAACUUUAAUCCAUUUGAAAUUCUGUGGCAAUUGUUUACUGUUGAGCUUCAUAAUUAGGUUAGUUGGAAUAUGUAGAAUUCGGAACGCAAUGGUCCUCAGUUAUUCUAUUUUUGUUUAUGACCUUUACUGUUGGUUUUGGUUGUUGGGAAAUGUUUCCCUGAGGUCCUUAACAAUGAUGAUUUCAUGGCAGUUAUUUGCAGUGAGAAGGAGAUUAUUUGGUCUGUAAGAUGCACAUUGUUUUGGUUAUCCAAGAUCUAGUGAGAGAGCGGAGGUUUGUUUGUUUUGUCUGGGCUUUUUCAUGUUUUCAGUAGUUAGUAGGAACGGUAUGGUCAAAGAUUUGCUUAUUCUAGGAUAACAAGCUAGUUAGAAAUCCUUUAUUUUAUCAGCCUAAUCGCUCUUUUGAAAGAACUCAUCUUGGGGUGGGCUUACUAGUUAGAUGCUUUCAGCAGUUAUCCGCUCCGCACUUGGCUAUUUUCUUAUGAAGUUUUGUUAUAGCAUCUAUAAUGGUCUCUGGUUUAGGUGGACAGCCUGGCAAAUAGACAUCCACGGGAAUUAGCUUAUCAAGAAAAAGUAAAAUAUUAUUUUCUUUCAUCAAAAGACAUCAAUUACUAAGAUUCGAAGCAAUUAGUAUUAUUUUCCAAGGCAAAAGAGCCCCCGACCACGGAUGAUUUCAUUACCCUCACUAGCAAGAUUACGACCCUUAUUCCGAGCAUGUACAAAUGCUUGCAUGAAGGAGUCAGUCUUCUAUUCUAUUCCUUGGCGCAGCUGGGCCCCUGCUACGACAUUUGCACAUUUGGAUGCUACGACCGUCAUAUCUAGAGGAUUGGCUGCCAAAGGUAUCUAUCCAGCUGUCCAUCGACUACGCCUUUCGGCCUGAUCUUAGGCCCUUAGGUUUUCGAGGCAUUAGAUUCUCACCAACGUUUGCGUUACUCAAUCUUUGCUUAUCUUCAAGUCUUGGUUUGUUGAAUAGUGCCCUUAUGCAUGCAGAGAGAUGCACAGCCCUUGAUUUAUUUGAGGAUCAUCUGGCCUAGUGAUUUAGGUAUUCCUGAGGGUUUUGAGUUUGUUGACCUUAAGUGUGCAGGGAUUCCUACUUCCUCUGGAUAUACUUACUUUGCUUACAAUAAAGGUGAGUUCUUUUCCCUAUCAAAACUAUAUUAAUAUGCUAUUGAUGUUUUUCACCUACAGUUGGUUAUUGUGUAUGGGAAGAUACCAUUCAUUUUGGUUUGUCAAUUUAUCAAAUCCAUGAUUGUGAGUUCCUAGAAUCCAUAUUCAGACUUUGCAUUACUAGACAAUGGAAGGAAACAAAUUAAUUCAUUUCAGGAACAACUUUUGAAGUUCCUCAAGGUUGAUUCUUACCAGCUAGUGGAUGGCUGAGCCAAACCAUGCUUCGUUUAAGAUGCCUGAAUAGCUCUUGCUUUCUAGAAAGCCUAAUUUCAGAGUCAAAUCAUUCAUAAUAGGAAUACGAUGGUUAAUGUAUGCAAAAUAACUUACUCAUCAAUAGAUUUGAGUAUGUUGAAUCAGCUAUGAUGCUUUGUUCCACAGGAUAUAGAGCUUGAUGAUUCUAGUCUCGAGUUCCUUGACUAUGCUUCCCCAAUCUUAUUUUGAAUUACCCAACUCUGAGAUCCCUUGUACCUAUAGAUCAAGAUAAACGAACUAAUUUUUAAUGGAAUUAAUUUUGGAACUUGUGCAUCACCAACGUAGCUUUGGUAUUUCAGAUGACUUUUGCUAUGCAUGUAUUUUCCACCUUCUGCUAACAAAAAUAUGAUAUCUAGAUCAGGCCAUUGCUUGUAAUGAUUUGAAUUGCGGCCUGCUCCUAAAGAAGAACAACUCAUCUGGUUACUGAUGUGGUGCUCAGGCAGCAUCUACCAAUAGGAUUUGAAGCAUAACUGCUGAAAAUAUCUUUAGUCCUGGUGAACUCAUUAUUUUCAGUUGAUUGGAAGGACUGAAUGAUGUAGAGACAGUCAUCAAAGAAAAAGUCCAAAGGAACACUGCCAUUUUUGUGACAGUAGUUCUUAAAUGUGCCUUUUUCUGUUGUGGAUUAUUGUUUCCUGAAAAAAUUGGGGAAAUCAUUAAUAUUCUUUUCUUUGUCUUUUGAAUCUAUUUCUUACAUCUGAUGCAUUCUUUUGUUAUGUUUCUGGCAGAUCAUACCUUUUGGGUUGCAGGAUGGGUUGUGCCCUUGUUAUGGUACAAUACUAAAAGAGAUUCUCAUUUAGGUACACAAACAUGGCAGCAAUAUUCUGAAAGGUCCUGUUGAGUUCCUUCCAGUUGUCUCAUUUACGAGAUAUUACUGUUCAAUUUUUAGGUGUUCAAUUGAUUGGGAUACUUUGUUGCAUUCUAUGUAUAUGAGAGAUUCUCCUAGCACUGCCAUGGGAGUUUCUCUGCCAUAGUACUAGUUAGUGUGGCAAAUGGCAAUGCAACAUCACAUUGCCAUAGCUGCCAGGUAUUUGACAUAUAACUUGUACGAUAUUGAAAAUGGUGAGCUAACAAGAGCCUCUCUUGUUUCCCCAUAUUCUUUCUUUUUAGGUUCAGCAUAAACCCAAAAGAACGCAAUUGAAAAAAGGUCUGCAGUGGCUCUCUUUUA